AGAGUUUGAUCCUGGCUCAGAACGAACGCUGGCGGCGUGGAUAAGACAUGCAAGUCGAGCGCUGAUUUGGUGGUAGCAAUAUUGCCAAGUUGGAGCGGCGCAAGGGUGCGUAACACGUGGGAAUCUGCCUUGAAGUGUGGGAUAACUCGUCGAAAGACGAGCUAAUACCGCAUGUGAUCGUAAGAUCAAAGUUGGGGAUCGCAAGACCUGACGCUUCAAGAUGAGCCCGCGGCCUAUCAGCUAGUUGGUGAGGUAACGGCUCACCAAGGCUAAGACGGGUAGCUGGUCUGAGAGGACGACCAGCCACACUGGGACUGAGACACGGUCCAGACACCUACGGGUGGCAGCAGUCGAGAAUUUUUCUCAAUGGGCGAAAGCCUGAAGGAGCGACGCCGCGUGGGGGAUGAAUGGCUUCGGCCCGUAAACCCCUGUCAUUUGCGAACAAAUUGGUUCACCUAACACGUGAACCAUUGAUAGUAGCGGAAGAGGAAGGGACGGCUAACUCUGUGCCAGCAGCCGCGGUAAUACAGAGGUCCCAAGCGUUGUUCGGAUUCACUGGGCGUAAAGGGUGCGUAGGCGGUUGGGUAAGUCUGACGUGAAAUCUCCGGGCCUAACCCGGAAACUGCGUUGGAUACUAUCCAGCUAGAGGAAUGGAGGGGAGACUGGAAUACUUGGUGUAGCAGUGAAAUGCGUAGAUAUCAAGUGGAACACCAGUGGCGAAGGCGAGUCUCUGGACAUUUCCUGACGCUGAGGCACGAAAGCCAGGGGAGCAAAUGGGAUUAGAUACCCCGGUAGUCCUGGCCCUAAACGGUGCGCGUUUGCUGUAAGC
rnacentral:rRNA from 1 species